rnacentral:rRNA from 1 species
GACGAACGCUGGCGGCGUGCUUAACACAUGCAAGUCGAACGGAAAGGCCCUGCUUUUGUGGGGUGCUCGAGUGGCGAACGGGUGAGUAACACGUGAGUAACCUGCCCUUGACUUUGGGAUAACUUCAGGAAACUGGGGCUAAUACCGGAUAGGAGCUCCUGCUGCAUGGUGGGGGUUGGAAAGUUUCGGCGGUUGGGGAUGGACUCGCGGCUUAUCAGCUUGUUGGUGGGGUAGUGGCUUACCAAGGCUUUGACGGGUAGCCGGCCUGAGAGGGUGACCGGCCACAUUGGGACUGAGAUACGGCCCAGACUCCUACGGGAGGCAGCAGUGGGGAAUAUUGCACAAUGGGCGGAAGCCUGAUGCAGCAACGCCGCGUGCGGGAUGACGGCCUUCGGGUUGUAAACCGCUUUCGCCUGUGACGAAGCGUGAGUGACGGUAAUGGGUAAAGAAGCACCGGCUAACUACGUGCCAGCAGCCGCGGUGAUACGUAGGGUGCGAGCGUUGUCCGGAUUUAUUGGGCGUAAAGGGCUCGUAGGUGGUUGAUCGCGUCGGAAGUGUAAUCUUGGGGCUUAACCCUGAGCGUGCUUUCGAUACGGGUUGACUUGAGGAAGGUAGGGGAGAAUGGAAUUCCUGGUGGAGCGGUGGAAUGCGCAGAUAUCAGGAGGAACACCAGUGGCGAAGGCGGUUCUCUGGGCCUUUCCUGACGCUGAGGAGCGAAAGCGUGGGGAGCGAACAGGCUUAGAUACCCUGGUAGUCCACGCUGUAAACGGUGGGUACUGGGCGUGGGGUCCAUUCCACGGGUUCCGUGCCGUAGCUAACGCUUUAGGUACCCCGCCUGGGGAGUACGGCCGCAAGGCUAAAACUCAAAGGAAUUGACGGGGCCCCGCACAAGCGGCGGAGCAUGCGGAUUAAUUCGAUGCAACGCGUAGAACCUUACCUGGGUUUGACAUGGAUCGGGAGCGCUCAGAGAUGGGUGUGCCUCUUUUGGGGUCGGUUCACAGGUGGUGCAUGGCUGUCGUCAGCUCGUGUCGUGAGAUGUUGGGUUAAGUCCCGCAACGAGCGCAACCCUUGUUCACUGUUGCCAGCACGUUAUGGUGGGGACUCAGUGGAGACCGCCGGGGUCAACUCGGAGGAAGGUGGGGAUGACGUCAAGUCAUCAUGCCCCUUAUGUCCAGGGCUUCACGCAUGCUACAAUGGCUGGUACAGAGAGUGGCGAGCCUGUGAGGGUGAGCGAAUCUCGGAAAGCCGGUCUCAGUUCGGAUUGGGGUCUGCAACUCGACCUCAUGAAGUCGGAGUCGCUAGUAAUCGCAGAUCAGCAACGCUGCGGUGAAUACGUUCCUGGGGCU